AGAGUUUGAUCCUGGCUCAGGAUGAACGCUAGCGGCAGGCCUAAUACAUGCAAGUCGGACGGGAUCCAUCGGAGAGCUUGCUCGAAGAUGGUGAGAGUGGCGCACGGGUGCGUAACGCGUGAGCAACCUACCUCUAUCAGGGGGAUAGCCUCUCGAAAGAGAGAUUAACACCGCAUAACAUAUCUGACCGGCAUCGGUUAGCUAUUAAAUAUUUAUAGGAUAGAGAUGGGCUCGCGUGACAUUAGCUAGUUGGUAGGGUAACGGCUUACCAAGGCGACGAUGUCUAGGGGCUCUGAGAGGAGAAUCCCCCACACUGGUACUGAGACACGGACCAGACUCCUACGGGAGGCAGCAGUAAGGAAUAUUGGUCAAUGGGCGGAAGCCUGAACCAGCCAUGCCGCGUGCAGGAUGACUGCCCUAUGGGUUGUAAACUGCUUUUGUCCAGGAAUAAACCUAGAUACGUGUAUCUAGCUGAAUGUACUGGAAGAAUAAGGAUCGGCUAACUCCGUGCCAGCAGCCGCGGUAAUACGGAGGAUCCGAGCGUUAUCCGGAUUUAUUGGGUUUAAAGGGUGCGUAGGCGGCCUAUUAAGUCAGGGGUGAAAUACGGUGGCUCAACCAUCGCAGUGCCUUUGAUACUGAUGGGCUUGAAUCCAUUUGAAGUGGGCGGAAUAAGACAAGUAGCGGUGAAAUGCAUAGAUAUGUCUUAGAACUCCGAUUGCGAAGGCAGCUCACUAAGCUGGUAUUGACGCUGAUGCACGAAAGCGUGGGGAUCGAACAGGAUUAGAUACCCUGGUAGUCCACGCCCUAAACGAUGAUAACUCGAUGUUGGCGAUAGACAGCCAGCGUCCAAGCGAAAGCGUUAAGUUAUCCACCUGGGGAGUACGCCCGCAAGGGUGAAACUCAAAGGAAUUGACGGGGGCCCGCACAAGCGGAGGAGCAUGUGGUUUAAUUCGAUGAUACGCGAGGAACCUUACCCGGGCUUGAAAGUUAGUGAAGAGUGCAGAGACGCACUCGUCCUUCGGGACACGAAACUAGGUGCUGCAUGGCUGUCGUCAGCUCGUGCCGUGAGGUGUUGGGUUAAGUCCCGCAACGAGCGCAACCCCUAUGUUUAGUUGCCAGCAUGUAAUGGUGGGGACUCUAAACAGACUGCCUGUGCAAACAGAGAGGAAGGUGGGGACGACGUCAAGUCAUCAUGGCCCUUACGUCCGGGGCUACACACGUGCUACAAUGGAUGGUACAGCGGGCAGCUACAUAGCAAUAUGAUGCUAAUCUCUAAAAGCCAUUCACAGUUCGGAUUGGGGUCUGCAACUCGACCCCAUGAAGUUGGAUUCGCUAGUAAUCGCGUAUCAGCAAUGACGCGGUGAAUACGUUCCCGGGCCUUGUACACACCGCCCGUCAAGCCAUGAAAG
rnacentral:rRNA from 1 species